rnacentral:lncRNA from 1 species
AAAGAUUAACUCAACAGCAAUCAAUUAUAGUAGAAAAUUAAAAACGAUUACAAUCUUUUCACUCCGAAUCCCAAAAUAAACAAAAUCUUCAAAUAAAAUGAAAUCUAACCCAUCGUAUAAAAAGACCACUCACUCCUUGUUCAAGACUCACAAACCAAACCAAACAAACAAACCAACUGCAAUUCUCUAAUUCUCUCCCUCUCUCAAAGAAACAAAGACUUCGAUCAGAAAGAAUUUUCCGGCAGCGAUCAAAAUGCGUCCUCCGCAGAGAACGGUGGUUUACAAAGCCGGCGACGAAGUCGAAGUGAUCGGCAAGGAAGAAGGCUUCUACACGUCAUACUGCGAGGCCACCGUCGUCUCCGUCCUCCCUUACGGCCGCUAUGAAGUCCAGUACAAGACGCUGAUCGUGGACGA